UGCUAGUCGUGUGACUCAGGCAAAACGAGUCACGGCACACAGCUCAGUAACACGUGGCUAAUCUGCCCUUAGGACGAGAACAACCCCGGGAAACUGGGGCUAACUCUUGAUAGGUGAAGAACUCUGGAAUGAGUCUUUGCCUAAAUAGAUUCACGUUAUCCUCGUGAAUCUGCCUAAGGAUGAGGCCGCGACCGAUCAGGUUGUUGGCGAGGUAAUGGCUCACCAAGCCUUUUACCGGUGCGGGCCGUGGGAGCGGGAGCCCGGAGAUGGGUACUGAGACAAGGACCCAGGCCCUACGGGGCGCAGCAGUCGCGAAACCUUUGCAAUAAGCGAAAGCUUGACAGGGCUAUCCCGAGUGCCAUCCGCUGAGGAAGGCUUUUACCCAGUCUAGAACGCUGGGGGAAUAAGGAGAGGGCAAGUCUGGUGUCAGCCGCCGCGGUAAUACCAGCUCUUCGAGUGGUGUGGAUGUUUAUUGGGCCUAAAGCAUCCGUAGCUGGCUAGGUCAGUCCCUUGUUAAAUCCACCGAAUUAAUCGUUGGAUCGCGGGGGAUACUGCUUGGCUAGGGGACGAGAGAGGCAGACGGUAUUUUCGGGGUAGGGGUGAAAUCCUAUAAUCCCGGGAAGACCACCAGUGGCGAAGGCUGUCUGCUAGAACGCGCCCGACGGUGAGGGAUGAAAGCUGGGGGAGCGAACCGGAUUAGAUACCGGGUAGUCCCAGCUGUAAACGAUGCAGACUAGGUGUUUGAACGGCCACGUGCCGUUCUAGUGCCGCAGGGAAGCUGUUAAGUCUGCCGCCUGGGGAGUACGAUCGCAAGAUUGAAACUUAA
rnacentral:rRNA from 1 species